AAAAUAUUUCCCAUAUGCGGAAAGGCUAAAGUUGGUGACUUCGAUGCUCUGAUGAAAUUCUGAUGAAUUUUCUCGUGGCAUUGGAGUUUCCCCUCCUCUCCUUUCCGGGGUUCUCUUCCGAAUCCCACAUCGGUCAAAAUCGUUCCUUUGGCGAGUCCCGAUGGAGAAUUGCUGGGAUUUCAUCGAAUUAUUGAGGCCGGACUUCGUGCUUAUGUGGCUGGAUGAUCCCGGUGAUCUCGUGCGGCUUGCCGCCGUCUCCCGCUUCUAGGAGCAGUUUGGUUCCAGUAAUUUAAAAGUGGUUUCUGCAAGAAGCAGUGGUUAAGAUUGUGCCCGGAAGUAUCAGUUUUCACUCAUGCUACCGAUAUCAAUAGUUCAGAAGAAAUUGCCAAAGUUGGACUGAGCACUUAGACAGAAUGGGAGUGCCAGACGAAAGAGUACAUGUUAUGCUCCUAUUUUAGUUGCUGUGUUGCUUAUCCUCUGGCAAAGAGUGAUUGCAUCUAUGGGUCGAUUAGUGCUUCAACCACUGACAUUGGAAUCUAGAGAUCGAGCGCAUGCUGGGGCUUCUUCUUGGUCAAGCAAGGGGCAGACGGAUCCUGCGGUGCCCCAGAUGCUGACUUAACAAUUGAGGUCUAAACUGUGUCAUCAAUGAAAUAAAGAUACUGCCAUUUAAAGGUUAGUCCUU